rnacentral:rRNA from 2 species
AGUCGAGCGGACCUUUCAAAGCUUGCUUUUGGAAGGUCAGCGGCGGACGGGUGAGUAACACGUGGGCAACCUGCCUGUGAGACUGGGAUAACUUCGGGAAACCGGAGCUAAUACCGGAUAAUAUAAGGAACCUCCUGGUUCUUUAUUGAAAGAUGGUUUCGGCUAUCACUCACAGAUGGGCCCGCGGCGCAUUAGCUAGUUGGUGAGGUAACGGCUCACCAAGGCGACGAUGCGUAGCCGACCUGAGAGGGUGAUCGGCCACACUGGGACUGAGACACGGCCCAGACUCCUACGGGAGGCAGCAGUAGGGAAUCUUCCACAAUGGACGAAAGUCUGAUGGAGCAACGCCGCGUGAGCGAUGAAGGCCUUCGGGUCGUAAAGCUCUGUUGUUAGGGAAGAACAAGUGCGAGAGUAACUGCUCGCACCUUGACGGUACCUAACCAGAAAGCCACGGCUAACUACGUGCCAGCAGCCGCGGUAAUACGUAGGUGGCAAGCGUUGUCCGGAAUUAUUGGGCGUAAAGCGCGCGCAGGUGGUCCUUUAAGUCUGAUGUGAAAGCCCACGGCUCAACCGUGGAGGGUCAUUGGAAACUGGGGGACUUGAGUGCAGAAGAGGAAAGUGGAAUUCCAAGUGUAGCGGUGAAAUGCGUAGAGAUUUGGAGGAACACCAGUGGCGAAGGCGACUUUCUGGUCUGUAACUGACACUGAGGCGCGAAAGCGUGGGGAGCAAACAGGAUUAGAUACCCUGGUAGUCCACGCCGUAAACGAUGAGUGCUAAGUGUUAGAGGGUUUCCGCCCUUUAGUGCUGCAGCUAACGCAUUAAGCACUCCGCCUGGGGAGUACGGUCGCAAGACUGAAACUCAAAGGAAUUGACGGGGGCCCGCACAAGCGGUGGAGCAUGUGGGUUAAUUCGAAGCAACGCGAAGAACCUUACCAGGUCUUGACAUCCUCUGCCACUCCUA